rfam:Flavobacterium frigoris strain DSM 15719 genome assembly, contig: Ga0131223_101
GCCUAGCCCUGAUGGAAGCGACAUCCUUUAUAUUUUUUCUUUAAAAAAAUAAAGAUAUAGCGCACAGCAGGAAAUUGC